AUCUCCUCAGAAUCAGGGUUGAGCCCAAUACGUCACCACUGGCUAGAAAGGAUGAGAAGAUUUUCCGGUUUGGCAGUCAUAAGUGGUACGGUGCCGGAAAGAGAGCAAGGAAAACACGCUCUGGUGCGACUACUACGGUCGCUCAUCACGCUUCGUCCGCUCAUGAAACCCGGCAGGCCACAAAGCACGAGGGUGCCGGCGCUAACAAGGCUGAACAUCUCAAGCGCUACUCUCCGCCUGCCGAAGGGAACUGUGGUUGGCACUGCAUUUCCGCCAUCGCCAACCGGAUGGUGAAUUCCAACUUUGAGACCAUCUGGAGGUUCGGGCAGAAUAUCUGUGAUGCCAUUCAACCAGAUUACAGGGACAAACUUAUGUCCAUGGUCAACACGACCCGUGUGACCUACGUGGAAAAACCUGUCAGGAAUGGGCAAGUCCUCACCCCCUACCACAGGGACCGAGAGGACGGCGCCAUUACUAUCGACUCCAGUCAAGGCGCCACAUUUGAUGUGGUUACACUGCAUUUGCCCACUAAAGAUUCACUCAACAGGCAAAGAGCUCUUGUUGCUAUCACCAGGGCCAGACAUGCUAUCUUCGUGUAUGACCCACACAGGCAAUUGCAGAGCAUGUUUGAUCUUCCCGCGAAAGGCACACCCGUCAACCUCGCAGUGCACCGUGACGAACAGCUGAUCGUAUUAGACAGAAACAACAGAGAAAUCACGGUUGCUCAGGCU
rnacentral:sRNA from 1 species